CCCGGCGUCUCCAUCUCCCGCUGCAAUUGCUUGGCAAAGCCAGGCAAUGGCCUGACAAUCACUUCGCGCCAUCGACACUGCAGUGACAAGGACUCCACGCUGGAGCUUGUCCUGCACAACACCCACAGGUGUCAGAGGCCUGUGGCCCCAGUGGAGGAAAUGACCCGUUGCAGCCGUCCAUUCAAACCUCCCUCGCCUGACCCGGGGACCCCCUGCUGUUUCUCCCCACUCGCUGAUGAUUAUUGACUGGCACAGUGGAAGACUAACUCAGCCCUGAAAAAGGACGGCCCUCCGGCUCGGCGAAGGCAUCCCCGACCACAGACCACACCGUGCAAAUGGUGGAGCUGCUUUGCCUGGUGCAAAUCCCAGAUCACGAGACCUCGCCCUGCUCCCCAAAGGACAGCCGGAAGCCUCCUUUGUAUGCGAUAUGGCCGACCGAAGGAUGUCUUCAAAGGAUUAUGGCGGUGUCCCAGCAAGUCAUUCUGCAAACCGUGAGCUCAGCCCCGCGUAGGUAUCCACCUGCACACCUUUGCAAGGGCAUGUACAGCAGGACGGGUCUGUCAUGCUCUUUUUGGGGUCAUUGGACCUUUGCCCAGGCCGGCUGCUCUGAUUGCAUGGUGGAGCUUACCCAGA